AAAUUGAAGAGUUUGAUCAUGGCUCAGAUUGAACGCUGGCGGCAGGCCUAACACAUGCAAGUCGAACGGUAACAGGAAGAAGCUUGCUUCUUUGCUGACGAGUGGCGGACGGGUGAGUAAUGUCUGGGAAACUGCCUGAUGGAGGGGGAUAACUACUGGAAACGGUAGCUAAUACCGCAUAACGUCGCAAGACCAAAGAGGGGGAGCUUCGGGCCUCUUGCCAUCGGAUGUGCCCAGAUGGGAUUAGCUAGUAGGUGGGGUAACGGCU
rnacentral:rRNA from 1 species